CUUAGAACACCUACUAACCCUAAAGAGAACUAAGAUAAAAAAAACCUAACACACACAAGAGACCCUGAUCUUUAAGAGUUAGAGAGGCGAACACAAUUAGGAGGAAGAGAACCAAUAGCUCUCAUCAAACGAGCUGCCCCCGCACCCUUUUUCAUUGUCCAAGACAACCCCCGAACUUUAUCUUUGAAUCACCCUAAAAUUGCCAUAAAACAUACAGCCAUAGACGCCAUUGAAGCGAGCAAAUCAUCACCGAAAAUCAUUGCCUAAAACCUCGGCCAACAUCCAAGAAACCUGCCUGAAACCUUUAUGAAACAGUUUGAUUUCCUCACCUGAAGUCGCCGUUCGAAAGCUCCAGACGUCGGUUCUGACUUAAAUCGCCAGUGAAGUUCUCCAUGCUUGGUCCGGCUUGUUCGAGUUCUCUCGUCAAGUUUAUAUCUUUGUAUUCAUCUUCAUGUAUAUAAAAGAUUUUUGUGGCCGAAUCCAUUUGUACUCGACUUUCAGCAUUUUCAAAUUUUGAAUUCAUGUUUUCGCUGGAUCUCUAUCCAUGUUUUCGCAAAAUCUCUAGUAGUUCGUCUAUUUUAUCGUUGCUUGUGUCUGUUCAAGUUUGAAUUUUAAUCACUGUCAUUCUAUUUGUCCAUGCACUCGAUCAGAAAUUAAUUAUAAGGAAUUUGCUUGUUGAG
rnacentral:lncRNA from 1 species